UUGUAAAAGUUUGGAGAAAUAUAAUAAUACUGCACCAGCUAGAAGACGGUUUUUUAGUUGAUCUUUUUUGGUCCAGACAAAGGCAACCCCCAUAUGUAUCUGAUCUGAGCAGCUUGAUUGUCAAGGUAAAGCAGGCAAGGCAUACCAUAGGAAAUUGCUUAGGAUGGUAUUACAGUUGUACAUGGUUUCUUUCACAAGUAAACUUUUUUUCUUUAGCUUUUUUCUCGAGGCAUGGAAGUGUG
rnacentral:misc_RNA from 1 species